AAGUAUAAGCAACUAUACGGUGAAACUGCGAAUGGCUCAUUAAAUCAGUUAUCGUUUAUUUGAUAGUACUUCACUACAUGGACAACUGUGGUAAUUCUAGAGCUAAUACAUGCUAAAAACCCCGACUUCGGGAGGGGUGUAUUUAUUAGAUAAAAAACCAACGCCCUCCGGGGCUCCUUGGUGAAUCAUAAUAACUUCACGAAUCGCAUGGCCUUGAGCCGGCGAUGGUUCAUUCAAAUUUCUGCCCUAUCAACUUUCGAUGGUAGGAUAGUGGCCUACCAUGGUCUCAACGGGUAACGGGGAAUUAGGGUUCGACUCCGGAGAGGGAGCCUGAGAAACGGCUACCACAUCCAAGGAAGGCAGCAGGCGCGCAAAUUACCCAAUCCCGACACGGGGAGGUAGUGACAAUAAAUACUGAUACAGGGCUCUUUCGGGUCUUGUAAUUGGAAUGAGUACAAUUUAAAUCCCUUAACGAGGAACAAUUGGAGGGCAAGUCUGGUGCCAGCAGCCGCGGUAAUUCCAGCUCCAAUAGCGUAUAUUAAAGUUGUUGCAGUUAAAAAGCUCGUAGUUGAACCUUGGGCCUGGCUGGCCGGUCCGCCUCACCGCGUGUACUGGUCCGGCCGGGCCUUUCCUUCUGGGGAACCGCAUGGCCUUCACUGGCCGUGUCGGGGAACCAGGACUUUUACUUUGAAAAAAUUAGAGUGUUCAAAGCAGGCCUUUGCUCGAAUACAUUAGCAUGGAAUAAUAGAAUAGGACGUGCGGUUCUAUUUUGUUGGUUUCUAGGACCGCCGUAAUGAUUAAUAGGGACAGUCGGGGGCAUCCGUAUUCAAUUGUCAGAGGUGAAAUUCUUGGAUUUAUUGAAGACGAACUACUGCGAAAGCAUUUGCCAAGGAUGUUUUCAUUAAUCAGUGAACGAAAGUUAGGGGAUCGAAGACGAUCAGAUACCGUCGUAGUCUUAACCAUAAACUAUGCCGACUAGGGAUCGGUGGGUGUUAUUAUUUUGACCCCAUCGGCACCUUACGAGAAAUCAAAGUUUUUGGGUUCUGGGGGGAGUAUG
rnacentral:rRNA from 1 species